UUGCAUCCGGCGUUCGGGAGGAUGAGAAGCUCCGGGGGAGGAGGUUCGACCCGAGCGCCGCGAGGGAACGUUGCGCCAGCAACGGCCCGCAGGGCGAGCCGCGCAGCGGUGAGUCAUCCUCUGGCACCGACCA
rnacentral:sRNA from 1 species